CCUAUGGGUUCAUUAGAGGAGGAGGGUAGUCCACCAGACUUAAGGGAACCCCUAGUUGCGCCCAUAGACACCCCAGCGUGGCCAUUAGCUCCACAAUUUACUACUCCCAUGAUACCCAAAGUUGAGAGCGUAUACCAUGAGAAGAGACAGCCGAGCUCAGGUAUCCAAUACUGGGAAGAAUAUAAGCCCUGGACACCUAGUGAACAACUGGCAAUAAUACAGCAGCUGCCAGAUGUUGAAAAGGCCUUCUUAGCUCUAGUCCAGUCUCUAUCCACCAUUCAAGCUACUUACCAGUGUACUUGGAUGGAUUUAAAACUUG